rnacentral:snRNA from 1 species
UCACUUCAGUGGCCCUCCCAGGGCGAGGCUCAUCCAUUGCACUGCGGGUGGGUUGACCCCUGCGAUUUCCCCCAAAUGCGGGAAGCUCAACUGUAUAAUUUGUGGUACUGGGGGACUGCGUUCGCGCUAAGUCGAG